ACCGUAAUGCUUUUUUAACAUUGUUUUUGCCUGUGUAAUGAUAUAUAACAAUCUCCAGACACCAUCUGCAGUCUUCAUAUUUCCUUGAUCUCUUUCAAACAACUUUUAGUACUGGAUAUGAGAAGAGGAAAGUGAUUACUUCACUGAGCAACAGACAGGAGAUAAAGAGGGAUGCAUCCGGUUGUGUUUUUUUCUCCUUAUGUUCAUAGUUCCUGUCUCAGCAGUUAGGACGGUGUCACAGGUGCUUAGGCUUGGUUUCUCUGUUUAAAACCUCUGCAUUCAUGAUGAUUCUGUCAAAAUUUCUUCAUUCCGCAGUUUGCUUUUCCCAUUGGUCUGACAGCCAAACCCGAGUUAAUGAGGCUUCAGGACACAAUUAAAUACUUAAUAUUUUAGUUAGGGUUGUGGCCAAAAGGAAGGCACCAACCAUUUUCUUGACUCCUUUUUGUCCGACACUGUGCCGAUUACUUUAGCUGUAGGCAUUCUCCUUCACUGCUUGGCCCCUGCUUAGCCAUACUACUAGGCACGUUUUUUUAUUAUUAUUAUUUUUUAAAUUGGAAAGAGACACUGCACACUUACAGACUAUCAUUAUAUGUCACAUUUACUGCUAGGAAAAGCCAAUAUUAAUAAGGGUUGCUUUUGCGUUUCUUCAGGCAUUACAUAUUUUAGCUGCAAAUGUCAACUCUUAGCUGGUUCUUAGCUAUUGUUCCCACAGUAUCAUAAUAUCACUAAAUGCCCUGUAGGACUAUCCCAGCUUCUUGUCACUCUAGCAACUCUGGGUCACCUUAAAGUCAUUGCAAGUCCCUAAACAUCUGCAUCACUCAGACUGGAAUCCUAAUGUGUACUGUGUAGCAACUAUUGCCACACCACCUGCAUGCUUAUAUGCAGGUGGCUCUCUUGGCAGCUGAAGUUUCUAUUUGAAAUAAAAGAAACUGUUUACAAUAAAGAGCAGAUAAUUUGGGGGAGCAGCUCAGUGAUUUGACUACCUGUGUGACACACAUUCUCAUUUCCAUCUGCAUGACCCUGAAACAGUCAUCACAAUCUGAGUGUAAAAGGGGAGUUAACACUACAUAGUAUUAGAUAAGAGCCAAUCUCUAGUCAGCACUCUUCAAACAGCAAGUGAAACAUGCCUUCAGUGUAAAGUGAGAGAUCAAGCAAGAGGAAACGGCAGAGAAGGAGGACAGGGCAAAUGAGAGACCCACUCUGCAUUCCUCUCUGAGUUGGUCUUUUCUAUUAUUGUCAAGCACCAGGCUGCAAGAGAAAGGUGACAGAUCCCAUGCUCAGCAGUCAUUCACUUGUUCCUCAAUGUUACAGUGAGCAGUAUGUGUAAAAUACAGUAUCUACAUCUGUUAACAUGUAAAUACCGAUACAGAAGUGGUGAGGCAGUGGAACAGGUUGCCCAGAGAAGUGGUGGAUUCCUGAACCAGCUACUGAAGCCCCUUCCAGCAGCAGACUUUACAGGCUAUGCACCCCGCUGCUCGCGUUGCCCCAGGAGCCGGCCCUGUGGCUGUGCUCAGCGUGUGACUCCAGCACAAAUACCAGCGCCUUUUGGCUGGAGAAGAGGUGUCAUACCAAGCCCGGGAUUUCU
rnacentral:lncRNA from 7 species